rnacentral:rRNA from 1 species
GAUGAACGCUGACGGCGUGCCUAAUACAUGCAAGUCGAGCGAACGGACGAGAAGCUUGCUUCUCUGAUGUUAGCGGCGGACGGGUGAGUAACACGUGGAUAACCUACCUAUAAGACUGGGAUAACUUCGGGAAACCGGAGCUAAUACCGGAUAAUAUUUUGAACCGCAUGGUUCAAAAGUGAAAGACGGUCUUGCUGUCACUUAUAGAUGGAUCCGCGCUGCAUUAGCUAGUUGGUAAGGUAACGGCUUACCAAGGCAACGAUGCAUAGCCGACCUGAGAGGGUGAUCGGCCACACUGGAACUGAGACACGGUCCAGACUCCUACGGGAGGCAGCAGUAGGGAAUCUUCCGCAAUGGGCGAAAGCCUGACGGAGCAACGCCGCGUGAGUGAUGAAGGUCUUCGGAUCGUAAAACUCUGUUAUUAGGGAAGAACAUAUGUGUAAGUAACUGUGCACAUCUUGACGGUACCGAAUCAGAAAGCCACGGCGAACUACGU